CUGUGUGUUUGUGUCUGGAGGGUCCGACAGCUGUAAUUAACUGAUCGGUGAGGACGGGGAAGUUGUGCUUUGUAGAUUAUUUGGUUAGAGGUCUUUUCUCCUGCUGCUCUCCAUCUUCUUCAUUUCUCUUGUCCUCCCAGUCACUCCUCCCUCUUUUCUUUCUUCUUCCACUUCUCAACCUGCCGGCAGCUCUUUUCAUUUUUCUUCCUGCCAUCAUUUUUUUCUGCUUUUCUCUUCCUCUCUCUCUCCUGUGUGUUACAUUGCCUGUCUCUUUAACCCAGUUCCACAUUGAACCCUGACCUCUCUCACUUGCGUAACUUCUGUGAUAACUGCGCUUUUGUGUGUUCCACAAUGUCUCUCGCUCCACUUCUUCACAAUACGAGUCACAAGUCACAGCUGAAGCACACAGGAGCUCUUCUCUUUGGAGGUCGGAGAUGUCAUGGUGGCUCCUGGCUGCUGAAAGAGAAGGACUAGUUCACCCAUGAUCAUCAGCAGCCACCAGUGUUCGUGGGAGACACCAAGAACAUCAAAACCCCCGAGAAUUCACUUGUUCAAGCCUCUGGCAUAAGAAGAGUUCUUAUUUUUCUUACUUUUUUGUGAUGGUAAACUGUUUUUGUCUUUGGGUUUUCAUGUAUAUUAUAUAUUGUUGUAACUGUAGUUCUAAAUUAGUCAGGUUAAUUUCCACAAUUAAUGUUACUAUCAGGUCUUAGCCUUAUCA
ensembl:lncRNA